GGGGAAUCUUGCACAAUGGGGGCAACCCUGAUGCAGCGACGCCGCGUGAGCGAUGAAGCCCUUCGGGGCGUAAAGCUCUUUCGACCGGAACGAUAAUGACGGUACCGGGAGAAGAAGCUGCGGCUAACUACGUGCCAGCAGCCGCGGUAAUACGUAGGCAGCAAGCGUUGUUCGGAGUUACUGGGCGUAAAGAGUGCGUAGGCGGUUUUCUAAGUUCGGUGUGAAAUCUCCCGGCUUAACUGGGAGGGUGCGCCGAAGACUGGGAAGCUGGAGUGUGGGAAAGGCAGGCGGAAUUCGUGGUGUAGCGGUGAAAUGCGUAGAUAUCAGGAGGAACACCGGCGGUGUAGACGGCUUGCUAGACCAUAACGGACGCUGAGGCACGAAAGCGUGGGUAGCAAACA
rnacentral:rRNA from 1 species